rnacentral:rRNA from 1 species
CCCUUAGAUGUUCGGGGCCGCACGCGCGCUACACUGAAGGAAUCAGCACGUCUUUCUCCUUGUCCGAAAGGACUGGGUAACCCGCUGAACCUCCUUCGUGCUAGGGAUUGGGGCUUGUAAUUCUUCCCCAUGAACGAGGGAUUCCCAGUAAGCGCGAGUCAUAAGCUCGCGUUGAUUACGUCCCUGCCCUUUGUACACACCGCCCGUCGCUACUACCGAUUGGAUGGUUUAGUGAGAUCCUCGGAUUGGUCCCGGAGCGGCCUCUGGUCGUGCCGGAGUGCCGAAAAGAAUGUCGAACUUGAUCAUCUAGAGGAAGUAAAAGUCGUAACA